AUUGGUGACUAUGAAGUAAGGGGUACACCUGUUCCCAUGCCGAACACAGCAGUUAAGCCUUACGUUGCGGAAGAUACUUCAGAAUAAAGUCUGUGGGAAAAUACGAAGUUGCCAAUU
rnacentral:rRNA from 1 species